rnacentral:rRNA from 1 species
AGCAGUAGCCGCGGUAAUACGUAGGGUGCAAGCGUUAAUCGGAAUUACUGGGCGUAAAGCGUGCGAAGGCGGUUAUAUAAGACAGAUGUGAAAUCCCCGGGCUCAACCUGGGAACUGCAUUUGUGACUGUAUAGCUAGAGUACGGCAGAGGGGGAUGGAAUUCCGCGUGUAGCAGUGAAAUGCGUAGAUAUGCGGAGGAACACCGAUGGCGAAGGCAAUCCCCUGGGCCUGUACUGACGCUCAUGCACGAAAGCGUGGGGAGCAAACAGGAUUAGAUACCCGUGUAGUCCCUGUCUCUUAUAA